GAGAAGGGUAAGAGAAAGUCAGAGUAAACAGCCAAUCAGCACUGAAGGGGUUCAGGAAUUAUGGCGUAUACCUGAGUGGAUUUACUAUCUAAGCCAAUGUCACAGCUUUGAAAUAUACAUCUGAAACCCUAGAGGCAUCUCAUGUAAAGACUUUGAGACUCAGGUCAAGUGGUCAGAUGAUUUUUUCAAGCUUUGAGGAUCAUUUCCUCCAGGACCCAUCAACAGAGUGAAUUCUCUGCACUGUGAUUUCCUUUCUGCUGAAUAGAAAGGUGAGGGUUGGUUAGCAACUUCCAGACCACCAUCCUUCCAUCCCAGAAUCUGCAGAUCUGCCUCUGAAAGUCCUGGAAUCUGUGCAUGGAAAGAGAGGAGGAGAAGACAGAGAUGAGGAAAAGUUGGGCAAGCAGGACUGUGGCGUAUUUUGGCUGUUGAAGAUGCACACUAAGAGGAGGGGGCUUUGCUCCCCAGCUGUCUGUUCCCAAUAUGUUGCUAUGAAUGCCACGUGGGAAGAGAAGCACCUUGACAUGGAUGCAGUGAUGCCUGCGGUGCUAACAGCUGAUAAGCAGUACAGAAGGGGCCCUUUCUUGAAAGCAUUUGUCCUGCUCUCGUCCAGUAAAAUCGUUCAGGGCAUGUAUGGGUUAUCUGAAUCAGGAAAUAUUGGCU